GAGGAGUGGUGAGAGUAGGCUCUUCAUCUUGUUCCAGUUCUCAAAGGGAAUGCUUUCACCUUUUCCCCAUUCAGUAUUAUGUUGGCUGUGGGUCUGUCAUAGAUGGCUUUUAUUACAUUAAGACUCAGCUUCGCACUCCAGGGCUGCGUACCACCAGCCACUGUCAUGUUAACCCCUUCCCAGGCCAAUGUGUCCUUGGCCUGGAGCCCGAUCUGCUGGACAGCCUGGGACCGUCCAUUUUCAGGGUGGUGGGCAACCUGGUGGCCAUCGUGGUGCUGUGCAAGUCGCGCAAGGAGCAGAAGGAGACCACCUUCUACACAGUUAUGUGGCUGGCUGCCACCGACCUGUUGUUCACUUUGCUGGUGAGCCAGGUGACCAUCGCCAUGUACAUGAAGGGUGGGUAACCUGGGGGCCAGCUGCUGUGCGAGUACAGCAUCUUCAGCCUGUUCUUCUUCAGUCAGUCCAGCCUCAGCAUCGUCUGUGCCGUGAUAUCUAUACAGGAUGUCUCAACUCAAAUGUGAAAUUUUCAUGGAGAAUAUUUGAACUGUAUUUAGAGUAAUGCAAAUUGCAGUUAAAAAGUUUAAUAUAGAUUUACCAGGGGGCGUGCAGCCUGCUUGCCAAUCAGAUCGCUGCUGAGCGGUCCCACAGCCAACCCCUGAAGAGCAGCCUGCUGGCUU